AAAGCUUUAAGUUAAAAAAACUAUUAACCUUCAAAGUUAAAAUUAUCUAAAAUAAGCUUUA
rnacentral:tRNA from 1 species